rnacentral:lncRNA from 1 species
GAAAGGACAAUUUUUAAUCAGGGAGGUGCACCUCCAUGCCCGUAAUGAAAUCGUACCUCAACCCCUCACCCCUGACUAUGUUUUUGUCGUGUGGAAAACCUAUACCAUGUUCCUCGCAUGUCCUAUACUAGAAACUAGACUCUACUCCUUUGCUCAUUCAUUGAUGUGACCAUCAUCACCCACCUUGCCUGAAUAAACAAGAAGAAGACACCCAUUGUCCAGUGUGAAGCAGUGUGAAGACAUGACCAAAAUCCAACAACCACACUAUAUCCAUCCCCUUGGCCCUCAACCAUGGCAACAAGCUUCCUACUUGCUAUCAUGUUAUUGGGGUGUGAGUAGAUUACUAGAGCUUCUUGUUGUGGCCUUGCGCAUAUUCGUUAAUUAGGGCUAUGCUCUGCAUGUAAUUUUAUUGUACGCACGGAGG